rnacentral:tRNA from 1 species
GGCCUUGUAGCUCAGCUAGUAAAGCAUCGGUGUAUGAAUCCGAAGGUCGUGGGUUCGAAUCCCAGCGAGGUCG